GAGUUUGAUCAUGGCUCAGAACGUACGCUGGCGGCACGCCUAACACAUGCAAGUCGAACGAAGUAGCAAUACUUAGUGGCAGACGGGUGAGUAACAUGUGGGUAUCUGCCCUUUGGCCUGGAAUAACACGAGGAAACUUGUGCUAAUACCGGAUAAGUCUUUACGGAGAAAGCUUUAUGCACCAUUGGAUGAGCCCGCACUUGAUUAGUUUGUUGGUAGGGUAAUGGCCUACCAAGACUAUGAUCAAUAGCUGAUUUGAGAGGAUGAUCAGCCACAUUGGGACUGAGACACGGCCCAAACUCCUACGGGAGGCAGCAGUGGGGAAUCUUGCACAAUGGAGGAAACUCUGAUGCAGCGAUGCCGCGUGAGUGAAGAAGGCCCUUGGGUUGUAAAGCUCUUUCGUCGGGGAAGAAAAUGACUGUACCCGAAUAAGAAG
rnacentral:rRNA from 1 species